UGACGGAAGGGCACCACCAGGAGUGGAGCCUGCGGCUUAAUUUGACUCAACACGGGGAAACUCACCAGGUCCAGACACAAUAAGGAUUGACAGAUUGAGAGCUCUUUCUUGAUUUUGUGGGUGGUGGUGCAUGGCCGUUCUUAGUUGGUGGAGUGAUUUGUCUGCUUAAUUGCGAUAACGAACGAGACCUUAACCUACUAAAUAGUGGUGCUAGCAUUUGCUGGUUAUCCACUUCUUAGAGGGACUAUCGGUUUCAAGCCGAUGGAAGUUUGAGGCAAUAACAGGUCUGUGAUGCCCUUAGACGUUCUGGGCCGCACGCGCGCUACACUGACGGAGCCAGCGAGUCUAACCUUGGCCGAGAGGUCUUGGUAAUCUUGUGAAACUCCGUCGUGCUGGGGAUAGAGCAUUGUAAUUAUUGCUUUUCAACGAGGAAUUCCUAGUAAGCGCAAGUCAUCAGCUUGCGUUGAUUACGUCCCUGCCCUUUGUACACACCGCCCGUCGCU
rnacentral:rRNA from 1 species